GACGUGACUUCAGAGUUUGAUCCUGGCUCAGGAUUAACGCUGGCGGCGAUGCCUAAUACAUGCAAGUCGAACGAGGUUCUUCGGAACCUAGUGGCGAACGGGUGAGUAACACGUAAGAAACCUGCCUUCGAGUCGAGGAUAACUACUGGAAACGGUAGCUAAAACUGGAUGUAAUAUGCUGGGGCAUCCCUACAUAUUAAAAAAGUCCUUUACGGGAAUGCUUGAAGAUGGUCUUGCGGUGCAUUAGCUAGUUGGUGAGGUAGUGGCUCACCAAGGCGACGAUGCAUAGCUGUGCUGAGAGGCAGAACAGCCACACUGGGACUGAGACACGGCCCAG
rnacentral:rRNA from 1 species